GGAGAAGUACCCAAGUGGCCGAAGGGGCUCCCCUGCUAAGGGAGUAGUGUGCGAAAGUGCAGCCCGGGUUCAAAUCCCGGCUUCUCCGCCA
rnacentral:tRNA from 1 species